ACCUCGGAUCAGGUAGGGAUACCCGCUGAACUUAAGCAUAUCAAAG
rnacentral:rRNA from 1 species